GACGAACGCUGGCGGCGUGCUUAACACAUGCAAGUCGAACGGUGAAGGGAUCAGCUUGCUGGUUCUGGAUGAGUGGCGAACGGGUGAGUAACACGUGAGUAACCUGCCCCCUUCUUCUGGAUAACCGCAUGAAAGUGUGGCUAAUACGGGAUAUUCUGCGCCUGCUGCAUGGUGGGUGUGGGACAGAUAUUGUUUCGGUGGGGGAUGGGCUCGCUGCCUAUCAGCUUGUUGGUGGGGUGAUGGCCUACCAAGGCGGUGACGGGUAGCCGGCCUGAGAGGGUGGACGGUCACACUGGGACUGAGACACGGCCCAGACUCCGACGGGAGGCAGCAGUGGGGAAGAGUGCACAAUGGGCGCAAGCCUGAUGCAGCGACGCCGCGUGAGGGAUGGAGGCCUGCGGGUUGUGAACCUCUUUCGCCAGUGAAGCAGGCCUGUCCCUUGUGGGUGGGUUGACGGUAGCUGGAGAAGAAGCGCCGGCUAACUACGUG
rnacentral:rRNA from 1 species